rnacentral:rRNA from 1 species
AACGAACGCUGGCGGCAGGCCUAACACAUGCAAGUCGAGCGAGGACUUCGGUCCUAGCGGCGGACGGGUGAGUAACGCGUGGGAACGUGCCCUUUGCUUCGGAAUAGCCCUGGGAAACUGGGAGUAAUACCGGAUGAGCCCUUUGGGGGAAAGAUUUAUCGGCGAAGGAUCGGCCCGCGUUGGAUUAGGUAGUUGGUGGGGUAAUGGCCUACCAAGCCGACGAUCCAUAGCUGGUUUGAGAGGAUGAUCAGCCACACUGGGACUGAGACACGGCCCAGACGCGUGGGGGAGAGAGCAGUGGGAACACUUAGCGAGGGGGGGAAACGCUGGUCCAGCCAUGCGGGUGGGGGGAUGAAGGUGUUGGGGGUGUAACGUUGUUUAGGCGGGGAAAAUAAUGACGGAACCAGGAGAAGACGCCCAGGAUGACUCCGUCCCAGCAGCCGCGGUAUAAA